rfam:Gossypium hirsutum cultivar TM-1 chromosome 18, whole genome shotgun sequence
AAUCCAUGGUGUGGACAAUUCUUUAACAUCGAAUUGAAACGUUCCCAUACUUCGUAAAGGGACUCAUUUUCAUAUUGCUUGAAAUUAGCGAUUUCUCUCCUAAACU